GGCGUCGUAGCCAAGUGGCUAAGGCAAGGCUCUGCAAAAGCUUCAUCCCCGGUUCAAAUCCGGGCGACGCCU
rnacentral:tRNA from 1 species